CAUGAUUCCAAAAACCUAUUCACAUAUACAAACAAACGUUUUACUGAUGGGGCUGCCGCCAUUAAAUAAUGUUUUAAAAAGGAAAUUAGAUUUUUGGUCUGAAACGGUGGCUGACGCCAACGGCGAAGAAGGGCACAGCCCUGUCUCUGAAAGAUAGCUGAUUCAUUAAUGAAGUAAUUAAUUUAAUAAUUUUGAUAAAAAAU